rnacentral:rRNA from 1 species
GGGGAUGACGUCAAGUCAGCAUGGCCUUUAUAUCCUGGGCUACACACACGCUACAAUGGGAAGGGACAAUAGGUUGCGAAGCCGCGAGGGCGGAGCCCAAGUCCAGCAAAACUUCCCUCAGUUCAGAUUGCAGGCUGCAACCCGCCUGCAUGAAGUUGGAGUUGCUAGUAAACGCAGGUCAGCCAUACUGCGUUCGAAUACGUUCCCGGGGCUU